rnacentral:rRNA from 1 species
CGGUGGAGCACGUGGUUUAAUUCGAAGCAACGCGAAGAACCUUACCAGGCCUUGACAUGCAGAGAACUUUCCAGAGAUGGAUUGGUGCCUUCGGGAACUCUGACACAGGUGCUGCAUGGCUGUCGUCAGCUCGUGCCGUGAGAUGUUGGGUUAAGUCCCGUAACGAGCGCAACCCUUGUCCUUAGUUACCAGCACGUUAUGGUGGGCACUCUAAGGAGACUGCCGGUGACAAACCGGAGGAAGGUGGGGAUGACGUCAAGUCAUCAUGGCCCUUACGGCCUGGGCUACACACGUGCUACAAUGGUCGGUACAAAGGGUUGCCAAGCCGCGAGGUGGAGCUAAUCCCAUAAAACCGAUCGCAGUCCGGAUCGCAGUCUGCAACUCGACUGCGUGAAGUCGGAAUCGCUAGUAAUCGUGAAUCAGAAUGUCACGGUGAAUACGUUCCCGGGCCUU